UUCCCGCUGUUGGCGGAAGUUAUGAGAGGACGCGUUGAAAGGCAAGGCGAAGUAGCAAAAUGUGCAGUGUCAGUGAAGAUUAACUCAUGAUAAUGCGAAAAGUGUUUCGAGAGACACACAUUGAAUGUACUGGAUGAGUAACUUCUCCGUCUAUCACAUACACUUGUCAGAAGAGGGGUAAUGGCGGCGCUUUGCGAGAAGAGCUGAAACACACCGUGCUAAUUCCAGACGCAAAUCACGACGGAGCAGAAGAGGACAACUCGAAUACAGAAGGGAGGGCCCUCUCAUAUGUGACUGCAUACUGAUGGAGAGUCACUGGGAGGUUGGCCACAGUGCAUCUAGCUUUGUGUCCCACCACAACUGUGUAGCAGUGCUUUUGUGACACAGCUUGGAAAAUCAAGUUGGGCCACAAUGUCUUCAGGAUUCUUGUCCCACCUCUGCACAAACUGGACACGCACUACAGUCACAUUCGGCUGGUUGUCAAAUAUCCUCAGGCGCUUUAAUUCUCCUGAUGGAUCAUCAAAAAGCGUAGUGGUUGGCGGGCCGUCCACAUCGAGUGUGGUGGGAAGAUUUCUUCCAUGCAGCAUCCGGAGCGCAGCAUAAAAGUGGAAGAGUGAAGAAAGAUGUUCGUCAACAGGCCUGUAUUGGUGGUGUACUGCAAUGCUAAAAUUGUCCAGUCUUCUCGCCAGUGUAUGACAUCUCUGGAUGACGUGUGGACAUCAACAGAAAUGGUGCCUGGAGAUGGAGAUCGGGUGACCUCCUUGCUCCAGAAAUUUUCAAGACAGACAGACACUGGCUGGUCUCUCGCCAGACAGUUUUUCCGAAGCUUCUGAGUGAGUUGGGCUUCUUGUCCACCCAACACAGCCAUGGCUUUGUGGAAGCCCGGACGGAAUCUUCUUCACAGAAGAUGGCCCUGCACUUUUAGAGAUCAAGUGUCCUUAUUCGCGCAAGGGUUCAGUAAUAAUAGAUGCGAGCACGUGCACAAGUUAUGUGCCUUAUAUCGGGUACCAGGAAGGUUGUCUGUAUCUAAAGCGACAGCACGCCUAUACACACAGGUGCAGGUAGCCAUGUAUGUCUCAAAUAUUCAAGAAUGUUUCUUCUUUGUUUAUACAGACAAGCACAGCAUAAAUCUGAUUGUGGAAAAGGAUGAUGAAUUCCUUUCCCAAGUCAUUCCCCGACUGGAAUAUUUUUAUUUUAACGUGUACCGUAAAGAAUUGUUAAACAGCAGGUGUACAUAAUUUCUGGUUAUGAUUUGAUUUGGUUAUGGAACAUGUUCCGUGAACGUUUGUCCAGCACUGUACGGUAACAUGACAUUUCGUGAUGUCUCUGGCCAUGUUGUUCUUUACUUGUAGCUGAUGUUAUCCACAACCUUUGAAAGAAACAUUAAAUGGUGCAUAACGGUGAAGCACUAGCUCAUGUGUGAAGAAGUUUGAUACUGUUUUAUUUAAAGCAAAAUGUCGAGGCAUAAUGUGAUAUGACAAAAUAAACUCCCGGUACAUUGUACUACACAGUA